GAUGAACGCUAGCGGCGGGCCUAAUACAUGCAAGUCGGACGGGAUCCGUCGGAGAGCUUGCUCGAAGACGGUGAGAGUGGCGCACGGGUGCGUAACGCGUGAGCAACCUACCUCUAUCAGGGGGAUAGCCUCUCGAAAGAGAGAUUAACACCGCAUAACAUAUCUGACCGGCAUCGGUUAUAUAUUAAAUAUUUAUAGGAUAGAGAUGGGCUCGCGUGACAUUAGCUAGUUGGUAGGGUAACGGCUUACCAAGGCGACGAUGUCUAGGGGCUCUGAGAGGAGAAUCCCCCACACUGGUACUGAGACACGGACCAGACUCCUACGGGAGGCAGCAGUAAGGAAUAUUGGUCAAUGGGCGGAAGCCUGAACCGGCCAUGCCGCGUGCAGGAUGACUGCCCUAUGGGUUGUAAACUGCUUUUGUCCAGGAAUAAACCUAGAUACGUGUAUCUAGCUGAAUGUACUGGAAGAAUAAGGAUCGGCUAACUCCGUGCCAGCCGCCGCAGUAACAC
rnacentral:rRNA from 1 species